UAGGGAAUCUUCCACAAUGGACGCAAGUCUGAUGGAGCAACGCCGCGUGAGUGAAGAAGGCUUUCGGAUCGUAACGCUCUGUUGUUGGUGAAGAAGGAUAGAGGUAGUAACUGGCCUUUAUUUGACGGUCAUCAACCAGAAAGUCACGGCUUACUACGUGCCAGCAGCCGCGGUAAUACGUAGGUGGCAAGCGUUGUCCGGAUUUAUUGGGCGUAAAGCGAGCGCAGGCGGAAGAAUAAGCCUGAUGUGAAAGCCCUCGGCUUAACCGAGGAACUGCAUCGGAAACUGUUUUACUUGAGUGCAGAAGGGGAGGGUGGAAUUCCAUGUGUAGCGAUGGAAUGCGUGGAUAUAUGGAAGAACACCAGUGGCGAAGGCGACUCUCUGGUCUGCAACUGACGCUGAGGCACGAAAGAAUGCGUAGCGAACAGG
rnacentral:rRNA from 1 species